rnacentral:rRNA from 1 species
UAGGGAAUCUUCCACAAUGGACGCAAGUCUGAUGGAGCAACGCCGCGUGAGUGAAGAAGGGUUUCGGCUCGUAAAGCUCUGUUGUUAAAGAAGAACGUGGGUAAGAGUAACUGUUUACCCAGUGACGGUAUUUAACCAGAAAGCCACGGCUAACUACGUGCCCG